UGGGGAAUAUUGCACAAUGGGCGCAAGCCUGAUGCAGCCAUGCCGCGUGUAUGAAGAAGGCCUUCGGGUUGUAAAGUACUUUCAGUCGGGAGGAAGGUGGUAAGGUUAAUAACCUUAUCAAUUGACGUUACCGACAGAAGAAGCACCGGCUAACUCCGUGCCAGCAGCCGCGGUAAUACGGAGGGUGCAAGCGUUAAUCGGAAUUACUGGGCGUAAAGCGCACGCAGGCGGUUGAUUGAGUCAGAUGUGAAAUCCCCGGGCUUAACCCGGGAAUUGCAUCUGAGACUGGUCAGCUAGAGUCUUGUAGAGGGGGGUAGAAUUCCAUGUGUAGCGGUGAAAUGCGUAGAGAUGUGGAGGAAUACCGGUGGCGAAGGCGGCCCCCUGGACGAAGACUGACGCUCAGGUGCGAAAGCGUGGGGAGCAAACAGG
rnacentral:rRNA from 1 species